rnacentral:rRNA from 1 species
UACGUAGGGGGCUAGCGUUGUCCGGAUUUAUUGGGCGUAACGAGCGUGUAGGCGGCCAGGUAGGUCCGUUGUGAAAACUCGAGGCUCAACCUCGAGACGUCGGCGGAAACCCUCUGGCUAGAGUCCGGAAGAGGAGAGUGGAAUUCCUGGUGUAGCGGUGAAAUGCGCAGAUAUCAGGAAGAACACCCGUGGCGAAGGCGGCUCUCUGGGACGGUACUGACGCUGAGACGCGAAAGCGUGGGGAGCGAACAGG